GGUCGAGAACACCCGAAUGGUUUCUCUCCCAAGGAUGUGGAACCAUGCUUCCAUUGUCGCCCGAGGAUGGGGCUGCGGCCGAUCAGGUUGUUGGUGAGGUAACGGCUCACCAAGCCUUUAACCGGUACGGGCCGUGAGAGCGGGAGCCCGGAGAUGGGCACUGAGACAAGGACCUAGGCCCUACGGGGCGCAGCAGUCGCGAAAACUCCGCAAUGCGCGCAAGCGCGACGGGGCUACCCCGAGUGCCGUCCGCUGAGGAUGGCUUUUCUCUGGUGUAAUGAGCCGGAGGAAUAAGGGGAGGGCAAGCCUGGUGUCAGCCGCCGCGGUAAUACCAGCUCCCCGAGUGGUGGGGAUGAUUAUUGGGCCUAAAGCGUCCGUAGCCUGCUCAGUAAGUCCUCCGUUAAAUCCGACGAUCUAAUCGUUGGGCUGCGGGGGAUACUGCAGGGCUAGGGGGCGGGAGAAGCCGACGGUACUCUUGGGGUAGGGGUGAAAUCCUAUAAUCCCAGGAGGACAACCAGUGGCGAAGGCGGUCGGCUAGAACGCGCCCGACGGUGAGGGACGAAAGCGUGGGGAGCGAUCCGGAUUAGAUACCCGGGUAGUCCACGCUGUAAACGAUGCAGGCUAGGUGUUAGCGUGACUACGGGUCACGCUAGUGCCGCAGGGAAGCCGUUAAGCCUGCCGC
rnacentral:rRNA from 1 species